CUCUGCGUGCUUGAGGUAUAAUGCAAGUACGGUCGUUUUAGGUUUUACCAACUGCGGCUAAUCUUUUUUAUACUGAGCGUAUUGGAACGUUAUCGAUAAGAAGAGAGCGUCUAGGCGAACAAUGUUCUUAAAGUUUGACCUCAAAUCAGGUAGGAGUACCCGCUGAACUUAAGCAUAUCAAUAAGCGGAGGAAAAGAAACCAACCGGGAUUGCCUUAGUAACGGCGAGUGAAGCGGCAAAAGCUCAAAUUUGAAAUCUGGUACCUUCGGUGCCCGAGUUGUAAUUUGGAGAGGGCAACUUUGGGGCCGUUCCUUGUCUAUGUUCCUUGGAACAGGACGUCAUAGAGGGUGAGAAUCCCGUGUGGCGAGGAGUGCGGUUCUUUGUAAAGUGCCUUCGAAGAGUCGAGUUGUUUGGGAAUGCAGCUCUAAGUGGGUGGUAAAUUCCAUCUAAAGCUAAAUAUUGGCGAGAGACCGAUAGCGAACAAGUACAGUGAUGGAAAGAUGAAAAGAACUUUGAAAAGAGAGUGAAAAAGUACGUGAAAUUGUUGAAAGGGAAGGGCAUUUGAUCGGACAUGGUGUUUUGUGCCCUCUGCUCCUUGUGGGUAGGGGAAUCUCGCAUUUCACUGGGCCAGCAUCAGUUUUGGUGGCAGGAUAAAUCCAUAGGAAUGUAGCUUGCCUCGGUAAGUAUUAUAGCCUGUGGGAAUACUGCCAGCUGGGACUGAGGACUGCGAUGAAGUCAAGAUGCAGC
rnacentral:rRNA from 1 species